GGGGAUGUGGCUCAGUGGCAGAGCACUUGCCUUGCAUGUAUGAGGCCCUGGGUUCGAUCCUCAGCACCACA
rnacentral:tRNA from 1 species